rnacentral:rRNA from 1 species
AUUGAACGCUGGCGGCAGGCCUAACACAUGCAAGUCGAGCGGAUGAAGGGAGCUUGCUCCUGGAUUCAGCGGCGGACGGGUGAGUAAUGCCUAGGAAUCUGCCUGGUAGUGGGGGAUAACGUCCGGAAACGGGCGCUAAUACCGCAUACGUCCUGAGGGAGAAAGUGGGGGAUCUUCGGACCUCACGCUAUCAGAUGAGCCUAGGUCGGAUUAGCUAGUUGGUGGGGUAAAGGCCUACCAAGGCGACGAUCCGUAACUGGUCUGAGAGGAUGAUCAGUCACACUGGAACUGAGACACGGUCCAGACUCCUACGGGAGGCAGCAGUGGGGAAUAUUGGACAAUGGGCGAAAGCCUGAUCCAGCCAUGCCGCGUGUGUGAAGAAGGUCUGCGGAUUGUAAAGCACUUUAAGUUGGGAGGAAGGGCAGUAAGUUAAUACCUUGCUGUUUUGACGUUACCAACAGAAUAAGCACCGGCUAACUUCGG